rnacentral:lncRNA from 1 species
AUAAAAUCUUCAUCAAAUCAAGAAUUGACUAAGCCCAACCCCUGAUCAAAUCAGGGACCAAACCACUUCGACGAUUAGGUCAACACUUAACCUAAUCGGGUCAAACCCAACUGAAUCCAAUUCAAUUGGACUUGAUCCAAAAAUAAUUACUCAAUUAAAUUGAGUUAAUUAAUGAUCAAAUCACUAAUUAAAUCUCUCAUAAAUACUGAGUCCAAAUCCGAUGGG